UACGUAGGGUGCGAGCGUUAAUCGGAAUUACUGGGCGUAAAGGGCGCGUAGGCGGCCAGCACAAGUCAGUUGUGAAAUCUCCGAGCUUAACUCGGAACGGUCAACUGAUACUGUGCGGCUAGAGUGCAGAAGGGGCAACUGGAAUUCUUGGUGUAGCGGUGAAAUGCGUAGAUAUCAAGAGGAACACCUGCGGCGAAGGCGGGUUGCUGGGCUGACACUGACGCUGAGGCGCGAAAGCUAGGGGAGCGAACAGG
rnacentral:rRNA from 1 species